AGGCUCUUCACUGAAAAGAAUGCCAAAUGCCUCUGGAAGUAAUAAAGAGACUGAACUAAUCUAAAAUUCUGUUUGAAACACUCAAGUCAUUUGGAACCAAUAUAUGUUGUCAUUAUCCCAUUCCAGUCUAUCCUCAUUCCUGUCCAUCCUUAAUUACCACAUUAUUUGGCUGUAAAGCCAGCAAAGAAAAGGAACAGAGCCUACAUCAGAGCUUUUAUAUGAAGGAAAUACUGAAAUUGGAUAUGACACAUCAAAAAUAUUUAAAUAUGAAACUACAGAGACUCUGGCUGAGUUGCAGCCUCUUCAGUUCACACGCUAACAGAACUCAGUCUUGAUGAGUGUUUACAGAAAAUUGUCUUCAUUGUCAACCACACUCCACAAAAUGAUGGCUAAUUUGACUUUUACAGAUUUAAAAAGUCGGAAAGCAUUUGAGGUUGCCUGCCAACUCCACAGAACUCUUCAUUAAUCAAUAAAUAAAGUUUUAUUUAAUUUUUUCACAAAGAGAACUUUGCGGUCAUGAACGCCUGCUGUCUGCUCCAUUAAAAAUAAAGAAAUCUUCUAAAGAGACUCUCUCAAACAUAUUCAAAUACAGGACUUGGGAAGAUAUUUCAUUCUAAUUUAGGAGUACAUAAUUAAUAUACUUCUUCGCAGCUAGCAUUUAAUGUCAUUGCUUUUAUGGUUUAUGAUGUAGUUUGUUUCUUUUUAUUUAACAGAAAGGUCAAUGUGACUAAUAAUUAGAACUAUGACUGAGAGAAGAAGACUGUAAUUAGACU
rnacentral:lncRNA from 1 species